rnacentral:rRNA from 1 species
CCUACGGGGGGCAGCAGUGGGGAAUAUUGGACAAUGGGGGCAACCCUGAUCCAGCCAUGCCGCGUGUGUGAAGAAGGCCCUCGGGUUGUAAAGCACUUUCAGUGAGGAAGAACGCCUGGUGGUUAAUACCCAUCAGGAAAGACAUCACUCACAGAAGAAGCACCGGCUAACUCGUGCCAGCAGCCGCGGUAAUACGGAGGGUGCGAGCGUUAAUCGGAAUUACUGGGCGUAAAGCGCGCGUAGGUGGCUUGAUAAGCCGGUUGUGAAAGCCCCGGGCUCAACCUGGGAACGGCAUCCGGAACUGUCAAGCUAGAGUGCAGGAGAGGAAGGUAGAAUUCCCGGUGUAGCGGUGAAAUGCGUAGAGAUCGGGAGGAAUACCAGUGGCGAAGGCGGCCUUCUGGACUGACACUGACACUGAGGUGCGAAAGCGUGGGUAGCAAACAGGAUUAGAUACCCCAGUAGUC